CGCUCCGGUGAUUAAACUUAGCCCCCGCCUCUAGUAGGUGCUGAGAGGGCGAGAUUAAGCGGGCACUUACUGUAUGGGCUACGUAUUGACCGCAUCACCUUGUAUCCCUCGGGCUUCGCCACCAGCGAGGAGAAGUUACAUCUUCUGGGAUCAGGGAGAAGAGAAUCUCACCCCUGACUCCUAACAGGGGCCUUCAACCCAGGGAGUCAAAUCAGGAACCCAGUUCACAAGAAGGACGCUCGCAUCUCCCUGCUAAGUACGCGUUUCUGUGCCUCAGAGACCCCCUACCUACCACCAGGCACCCUGGCCCUCUGCGCUCCCACUCAGGACCGUGCCGUCCCUCACACCCUGUGGCUGAAGACCUGGCUUCUCCAUCCCCCACCCCAUCUCACCGAAACUAGGCCAUCUCCAGGGCAGCCCCUAGACACCCCUCGCCCAAGAGGGGUCUCUACAAUCAUCAUUCCCGGACUCUCCUUGCCUUCUGUGAAGAUU